GACGAACGCUGGCGGCGUGCUUAACACAUGCAAGUCGAACGGAAAGGCCCUGCUUUUGUGGGGUGCUCGAGUGGCGAACGGGUGAGUAACACGUGAGUAACCUGCCCUUGACUUUGGGAUAACUUCAGGAAACUGGGGCUAAUACCGGAUAGGAGCUCCUGCUGCAUGGUGGGGGUUGGAAAGUUUCGGCGGUUGGGGAUGGAAUCGCGGCUUAUCAGCUGGUUGGUGGGGUAGUGGAUUACCAAGGCUUUGACGGGUAGCCGGCCUGAGCGGGUGACCGGCCACAUUGGGACUGAGAGACGGCCCAGUCGGCUACGGGAGGCAGCAGUGGGGAAUAUUGCACAAUGGGCGGAAGCCUGAUGCAGCAACGCCGCGUGCGGGAUGACGGCCUUCGGGUUGUAAACCGCUUUCGCCUGUGACGAAGCGUGAGUGACGGUAAUGGGUAAAGAAGCACCGGCUAACUACGUG
rnacentral:rRNA from 1 species